rnacentral:rRNA from 1 species
UACGUAGGGCGCAAGCGUUAUCCGGAAUUAUUGGGCGUAAAGAGCUCGUAGGCGGUUUGUCGCGUCUGCCGUGAAAGUCCGGGGCUCAACUCCGGAUCUGCGGUGGGUACGGGCAGACUAGAGUGAUGUAGGGGAGACUGGAAUUCCUGGUGUAGCGGUGAAGUGCGCAGAUAUCAGGAGGAACACCGAUGGCGAAGGCGGGUCUCUGGGCAGUAACUGACGCUGAGGAGCGAAAGCGUGGGGAGCGAACAGG